UACAUACGUCGACAUCACCUCAUAUCAUAUUGCAUCCAUUUUGAGUAAACUGCUCAGGAUUUAUUUCCAAAAUGAAUUUUAAGCUUUUGAGACUUGCGUCGCCUCUGGUUGGGUUUCGAAUUGUGAAGAAUCUUUACAAUGACGGGCGUCAUACUGGAGAAAGAACAAGGUUUGAACGAACGUCCGUGAAAAACAAAUUGAGAAUGGAGGAAAAUUUCAUAGGAAAAACAGCAUUCUCCAAAACGUAUUUUGGAGAGUUGUCUAACCUCUCGAAAUUCUCUGGUGGCUUGGGGAAACUCAGAGAAAUUUUGGCACGACAUGGAUUCAUCGUAAUUGCAGAUAAGAAUCAAAGAACGAAUCAAGUCAACCACGCUCUUCGGUCUGUUUCAUUUUCGGAUUAACCAUGCCAAACUCUUCAUUCGAUGAGGCUAAAGUGCUAGAAAUGUAUCAACUUUACCUGAAGCACCGUACAAAGGGAGCCGUUGCGGUAAUGUCGGGAAAUGAUGACCAAGAGAUAUCUGAAAUAUGUCGGCAUUUCCUGAUAUAUUUGGGCAAACAAAGUUCUUCGCCAUCGUUAGUAUGGUUGAACGGAGACAGCAAGACGACGCUGACACCAGCAGUUCGCUCUUUAGCUAAAUCCCUAGAAAUUCCUACAACAAUUAACGAAACUCCAAUUCCGUUGAGCCAACUCGUCUUACAAGUGGCAGAUUUUAUGACAAAAAAUUCAAUAAAUGGUUGGGUAGUUGUGAUAGACAAUGUUAAUCAAGCUUAUCUGGAGCUUGGACCUAUUCUUUCAAUUUUGGAAAAACAAGGAGCAUUUGUUGUUGUCACGACUACAGUGGAGAAUUUGUGGGAGCACCUAGCGGGGACAUGGAAAUUAAAUUAAUUCGUUUCUUAAAUUUUAAAGUGUGCUAUGCAUCAGAAUAAAUUUAUUUUUAAAACUUCUA